rnacentral:pre_miRNA from 2 species
CGGGUUUCGUUAGCAGCGGGCUGUUUUAAUAAAUUCAACAAGUUCGUUGUCGACGAAACCUGCA